GAUGAACGCUGGCGGCGUGCCUAAUACAUGCCAGUCGAGCGAACGGACGAGAAGCUUGCUUCUCUGAUGUUAGCGGCGGACGGGUGAGUAACACGUGGAUAACCUACCUAUAAGACUGGGAUAACUUCGGGAAACCGUAGCUAAUACCGGAUGAUAUUUUGAACCGCAUGGUUCAAAAGUGAAAGACGGUCUUGCUGUCACUUAUAGAUGGAUCCGCGCUGCAUUAGCUAGUUGGUAAGGUAACGGCUUACCAAGGCAACGAUGCAUAGCCGACCUGAGAGGGGGAUCGGCCACACUGGAACUGAGACGCGGUCCAGACUCCUACGGGAGGCAGCAGUAGGGAAUCUUCCGCAAUGGGCGAAAGCCUGACGGAGCAACGCCGCGUGAGUGAUGAAGGUCUUCGGAUCGUAAAACUCUGUUAUUAGGGAAGAACAUAUGUGUAAGUAACUGUGCACAUCUUGACGGUACCUAAUCAGAAAGCCACGGCUAACUACGUG
rnacentral:rRNA from 1 species